rnacentral:rRNA from 1 species
AUUGAACGCUGGCGGCAGGCUUAACACAUGCAAGUCGAGCGGAGAUGAGGUGCUUGCACCUUAUCUUAGCGGCGGACGGGUGAGUAAUGCUUAGGAAUCUGCCUAUUAGUGGGGGACAACAUUCCGAAAGGAAUGCUAAUACCGCAUACGUCCUACGGGAGAAAGCAGGGGAUCUUCGGACCUUGCGCUAAUAGAUGAGCCUAAGUCGGAUUAGCUAGUUGGUGGGGUAAAGGCCUACCAAGGCGACGAUCCGUAGCGGGUCUGAGAGGAUGAUCCGCCACACUGGGACUGAGACACGGCCCAGACUCCUACGGGAGGCAGCAGUGGGGAAUAUUGGACAAUGGGGGGAACCCUGAUCCAGCCACGCCGCGUGUGUGAAGAAGGCCUUAUGGUUGUAAAGCACUUUAAGCGAGGAGGAGGCUACUGAGACUAAUACUCUUGGAUAGUGGACGUUACUCGCAGAAUAAGCACCGGCUAACUCUGUGCCAGCCGCCGCGGUAA